GGAGGCAGAGUAAAUCUACCCUGUGUACACCUCAGUCCAGGCCCUGUGCCUGGCCUGUAUUGUGAAUGGGGGGACAUGG
rnacentral:snoRNA from 1 species